AAAGUUGAAAAGUACUUUGAAGAGAGAGUAAACAGUGCGUGAAACCGCUCAGAGGUAAACGGGUGGAGUUGAACUGGAAACUUGGAGGAUACAGUAAUGAGCAUGGCUUGUGCUAGGGCAUUUCAGUUGGUUCCCGGGGUACAUUGUUUGUAAGCAUGGUGUACUCAGCAAGUGCCGUGCGCCCCGGGUCUGGCCGGCUGGCUCGUUGUCUGGAUUUCUCUGAGUGUUCACCAUGACCGCAUCGACAAAUGAUCUGUUGUAGUCGAACCGUCCAGGCUUGUACUUCGGUUCAGGCUUGGAUGGUAUGACAGGUAACCUGUUGAUCCGUAGGGAUUGAUCGGUGUAAUUAGUUGGUUAUGACGGUAUAUGAAAGAUGCAGGAGAUGGCGGUGGUAUGUGUGCUUUCUGUCGGUAUAGCUAAGUUUGGUAGGCAUCUACUGGUAGUAAUCAGUGUGUCUGCAGCUUGGUUAUGCUAUGGUGGUGGUAUCAUGUGCUUGUGGCCCAUAGUCCAUGGUGUAGUUGUAGAUUUUCCACCCGACCCGUCUUG
rnacentral:rRNA from 1 species